AUACGUAGGGGGCUAGCGUUAUCCGGAAUUACUGGGCGUAAAGGGUGCGUAGGUGGUUUCUUAAGUCAGAAGUGAAAGGCUACGGCUCAACCGUAGUAAGCUUUUGAAACUAAGAGACUUGAGUGCAGGAGAGGAGAGUAGAAUUCCUAGUGUAGCGGUGAAAUGCGUAGAUAUUAGGAGGAAUACCAGUUGCGAAGGCGGCUCUCUGGACUGUAACUGACACUGAGGCACGAAAGCGUGGGGAGCAAACAGGAUUAGAUACCCUGGUAGUCCACGCCGUAAACGAUGAGUACUAGCUGUCGGGGGUUACCCCCCUCGGUGGCGCAGCUAACGCAUUAAGUACUCCGCCUGGGAAGUACGCUCGCAAGGCUGAAACUUAAAGGAAUUGGCGGGG
rnacentral:rRNA from 1 species